rnacentral:rRNA from 1 species
UACAGAGGGUGCGAGCGUUGUCCGGAAUCACUGGGCGUAAAGGGCGCGUAGGUGGCUUGGUAAGCGUGUGGUGAAAGUCCGGGGCUCAACCCCGGAUCUGCCGUGCGAACUGCCGAGCUCGAGCAUUGUAGAGGCAGGUGGAAUUCCGGGUGUAGCGGUGGAAUGCGUAGAGAUCCGGAAGAACACCAGUGGCGAAGGCGGCCUGCUGGGCAAUUGCUGACACUGAGGCGCGACAGCGUGGGGAGCAAACAGGAUUAGAAACCCCUGUAGUCC